rnacentral:ncRNA from 1 species
UGAAAUGAGGAAAUGUUCCAUGCGGACAUCACUUGGAUAUGGUCGGUUAGUUGAUCCUAAGAGAUGGGGAAUCCUUGUAUCAAGGGUGCACUUUGCAUGAACAUCAAAAGAGAAUUGGGUUAAUAUUCCCGAACCAAGACAUGGUGGUGGACGACAAUGUUAGGAAAUCUAGAGAUGUCAUUGGGGGUCUGGGAAGAGUUAUCCUUUCUUUUUAAUGAUUUUCCCACUGUGAAAUUGGUUCAACCAAAAAUAGGGUCCAACAUCUGAAAUAGCACCACAUGUCUUGUGGUGUUUGGUGCCCCCUCAACGACCAUUUUAAAUAUGGUGAACCGAGUACCAUCCAUGCCCGAUUGUACUCAUAUUUGACUCCUUUGAUUUUUCAAUGUCCACUAGGUUAGCGAUCUUGA